rnacentral:rRNA from 1 species
AGCGAACGCUGGCGGCAGGCCUAACACAUGCAAGUCGAACGAACCUUCCGGGGUUCUUGGCGGACGUGUGAGGAACACCUAGGAACAUGCCCUUAAGUUCGGAAUAACUCAGGGAAACUUAUGCUAAUAACCAGUGUGCGCUUCGGGGGAAAGAUUUAUCGCCUUUAGAGCGGCCCGCGUCAGAUUCGCUGGUUGGUUGCGGUAAUGGCUCACCACAGCGGCGAUCAGUAGCUGGUCUGAGAGGAUGAUCCGCCACAUUGGGACUGUGACACGGCCCAAAACCCGACGGGAAGCAGCAGUGGGGAAUCUUGCGCAAUGGGCGAAAGCCUGACGCAGCCAUGCCGCGUGAAUGAUGAAGGUCUUAGGAUUGUAAAAUUCUUUCACCUGGGACGAUAAUGACGGUACCCGGAGAAGAAGCCCCGGCUAACUUCGUG